AGUGAACGCUGGCGGUAGGCCUAACACAUGCAAGUCGAACGGCAGCACAGGAGAGCUUGCUCUCUGGGUGGCGAGUGGCGGACGGGUGAGGAAUACAUCGGAAUCUACUUUUUCGUGGGGGAUAACGUAGGGAAACUUACGCUAAUACCGCAUACGACCUACGGGUGAAAGCAGGGGACCUUCGGGCCUUGCGCGAUUGAAUGAGCCGAUGUCGGAUUAGCUAGUUGGCGGGGUAAAGGCCCACCCAGGCGACGAUCCGUGGCUGGUCUGAGAGGAGGAUCAGCCACACUGGAACUUAGGCACGGUCGAGAAUCCGACGGGAGGCAGCAGUGGGGAAUAUUGGACAAUGGGCGCAAGCCUGAUCCAGCCAUACCGCGUGGGUGAAGAAGGCCUUCGGGUUGCAAAGCCCUUUCGUUGGGAAGGAAAUCCAGCUGGCUAAUACCCGGUUGGGAUGACGGUACCCAAAGAAUAAGCACCGGCUAACUUCGUGCCAGCAGCCGCCGUAA
rnacentral:rRNA from 1 species